rnacentral:lncRNA from 13 species
UCUCCUGCUCUCGGAGCCACUGCCCCACCCCCGCCGUGGGGGGGCGCCGAGGAGGGAGCGGGCGUCUGAGCGCGGAGGCGUGCGGGGAGCGGGCUGGGGAGCGGCGGUCGCUACGGAUCCCCUUGCUCUGACGGCAGCUCAGACGCCCGCGGAGGCGGCUCCGCGGGGCGAGCACGGAAGGGGGCGAGUGCCGGGACCCCUCCCCCUCCGCUCGCGGCGCGCCGCGCGCCCCCGCGUCGCCUGGCGCGCCCCCGCGCCCUCGCGCCGGCCCGGGCAGACACCUACGCAGACGCGAAAGUGAAAGGGGGGUGACCCGGCCCGGCGGGCUACAGGCGGCGCGCGGGCACGCGGCAGGGGGCGGAGGACGGAAGGGUGAACCGGGUUCCCAGGAUUCUCCCGCGCCCGCUGCUCCUCUGCGGAGCCUCCCCGGAGUCCCACGUCCCCACCCCGGCCACGCAGAUCAGCACGUCAGGAGAUAUGUAUGCGUGUGCUUGUGUGUGCGCGCGUGUUCACGCGCACUCGCGGGUUUGCGAGGUGUUGGCAAAAAUUGUCCCUCAGAAGAUCUGUCUUUCCAAGUCAGUCCACUUCCAGAAGGUUGAGGUAAAUAUUCCUUGAAAAUACUGAAGUCAUUGCCUAUACCUGUUUUUCCUCCCUUUUCAUAAAAUUCAAAUUAUGAAGUUCAAAGCCUUUCAGAGAAUGAUAUUGCUUCACCUGGCAAAAAAGUCAUUAGAAAAAUCUAAAUAGAUCUGGAAAUCAAUUUUCCUAUAAAUUAAGAGUAUCUGAGAUCUUCCAGGGAUCUCUAAGCAAUGGCCUUUCUAGUUGUUUACUUGCACAUUCAUUUUAUUGACUCUUUACUAAAAGUGAAUAGGGUGAAUUUGUUAUAAAUUAAGGCCUUAGGUUUUUUCACUUAUUUAGUCUUUCAUGUACUUGUGUGUGAUAUCUUAAUCCCCUCAAAAGGUAAACAAUAAUGUCUCUAUGAAAAAGGUUUCAAUUUAUGAUGAAAUGUACAGAGAAUAAUACUUUUCUAAGCAUUUAGGAUCCCACUUUUAUUGAAAUGUAAUCCAAACAUCAAAAUAAUAUUACCAACAAAAGAAUGCUAAAAAAUCUAACUUGGGACUAUAAAUAUCAAUCUAGAUUGUCAGUUUUUCAAAUUUCUCCAUAAACUGUCAAGAGUAUUUAUAAAUCCAAAUCGUAUGCCUAGAUAAAUACAAAUACACACAAAUACGUUGGCUUCUUUGGCAGUCUGAUAUUCUGUUGACGUGAUAAAAGCUCUUAGCUUGAAAGUUGAUCUAAGAAACUCAGAUUCAGAGUUACUGUAUCAAUUCUUGUGAAAAAUCAAAACACUGCCAAAAGCAGCUGAAGCCGCUGACCUAGCAGGCUGAUUCCGAAAGAGGCACGCACUAAAAGCUGUAGGGGUUGAACUAAACAUAUGGUAUCGGAUUACUAUUAAUCUAGAGAAACAGACCAUCAGCAAACUGAGAAAAGAAUCUUUUAUUGCAAUGAUUUGUCAAAGCUUUGAGAUUUCAUCCUCAGUCUUCCUUUCGGAUUUGUCUUCUGAUGUUUGCCUUAUUUUCAAGUAGGGAUAAUGGUUUUCAUAAU